AUGCUGCACAUGAGCAAACAUCAAGAGGAGAAGUUUACUGCCUGCAAACAUGUAAAGGUGACUCCCUUUGGCAUGCCUUCACAGUCCAACUGUGAGUGUUCUUCUGUAUGUACUUCAGAGGACAAAUGCAUAACAGAAGGACAGGUAUGCGGAACAGAAGCACAAGACUUCCGUUGCAUUGUUACUUACAAAAAGAAAGAACAAGAUUGUAUUCCUUUAAAUGGAACAUCAGCAACACAGUGUUACACUGGAAAUGGGAUUUUCGUGUCCAACAUGCCAGGGUGUUUUAAUGAGAACAUUAUAAUUUGUAAAACAGCUCUUGAUAUCGAAUUUACCGGAUGCAAAAUAAAUCCAACUUCCAUAUCUGAAUCAAGAUCUCCUACAGAAAACCCACCUAGCUCAAGAGUAGGAGGAGAGAAUCCUGGACUCAUACCUGCCAGCGUUGCUGUUCUUGCCCUUGUCCUCUUUGUUAUAGGAGCUGCUAUGGUGAGUUCUUUUCCACAUAACAGCUUUUACUGCAGGACAUAA
rnacentral:lncRNA from 1 species